rnacentral:rRNA from 1 species
UACGGAGGGAGCUAGCGUUGUUCGGAAUUACUGGGCGUAAAGCGCACGUAGGCGGUUUUUUAAGUCAGAGGUGAAAGCCUGGAGCUCAACUCCAGAACUGCCUUUGAAACUGGAAAACUUGAAUCUUGGAGAGGUCAGUGGAAUUCCGAGUGUAGAGGUGAAAUUCGUAGAUAUUCGGAAGAACACCAGUGGCGAAGGCGACUGACUGGACAAGUAUUGACGCUGAAGAGCGAAAGCGUGGGGAGCAAACAGG